AAAUCGAGAAGAAUCAAUUACUUGGUCGACUUGACGCAGUUGCCGAGAAGAUGGAAGGGGAAGGGGAAGGAAUCGAAGCGAUCUUAUUAAUUUCUUUGGAUGAAUAAAAGCCUUCGGGAGAAAAAGGAGCGCCAUGGAAAAGGGUGUGUUAAUUCCCAGAUGUGGGUCCCAUACAGAAUAACCAACCAUACUAUAAACAGAAAUUAAUAAAGAUGAUCGUUCAACAACAUUUUGGGGUGAGUAUUGGAACUAAGUUGGGAUAUAUGUGUUAGGAUAUAUGCCAUGGAAUUGGAUCAAGUUGUACAUCAUUGAAUCUCCAGAAAAUUUGUAAUAAUCUUUUUUUUCUUCUUUGCUA